AUUGAACGCUGGCGGCAUGCCUAACACAUGCAAGUCGAACGAGUGGCGGACGGGUGAGUAAUGUCUGGGAAACUGCCUGAUGGAGGGGUAUAACUACUGGAAACGGUAGCCAAAACCGCAUACCAUCGGAUGUGCCCGUAUGGGAUUAGGGAGUGGGUGGGGUAAAGGCUCACCUAGUCGACGAUCCCUAGCUGGUCUGAGAGGAUGACCAGCCACACUGGAACUGAGACACGGUCCAGACUCCUACGGGAGGCAGCAGUGGGGAAUAUUGCACAAUGGGCGCAAGCCUGAUGCAGCCAUGCCGCGUGUAUGAAGAAGGCCUUCGGGUUGUAAAGUACUUUCAGCGGGGAGGCGUUACCCGCAGAAGAAGCACCGGCUAACUCCGUGCCAGCAGCCGCGGUAAUAC
rnacentral:rRNA from 1 species